rnacentral:tRNA from 1 species
AGUUUUACACAAGUCUUCUAAAUUUGUUAUAGGUUUAUGCCUACUCAUUUUUGUA